rnacentral:tRNA from 1 species
GAUUAUUGUGUCUGUAUAGAUUAUUUAAAUCGUGAUGCUGUUAACUUCAGGAA